rnacentral:rRNA from 1 species
AACGAACGCUGGCGGCGUGCCUAACACAUGCAAGUCGAACGCGAAAAGCAGUAAUGCUGAGUAGAGUGGCGCACGGGUGAGUAACACGUAAAUGACAUGUCCUCGAGACGGGAAUAACCAGCCGAAAGGCUGGCUAAUACCCGGUAAGCCCACGUCUUUGGAGAUGAGGGAAAAGGGUCGGGAAUUUUCGAAUCCGAUCGCUUGAGGAGUGGUUUGCGGCCCAUCAGGUAGUUGGCGAGGUAAAAGCUCACCAAGCCUAAGACGGGUAGCUGGUCUGAGAGGAUGAUCAGCCACACUGGAACUGAGACACGGUCCAGACUCCUACGGGAGGCAGCAGUGGGGGAAUCUUGCGCAAUGGGAGCAAUCCUGACGCAGCAACGCCGCGUGGGUGAUGAAGGUCUUCGGAUCGUAAAGCCCUGUCGGAGGGGAAGGAUGCUUGGAACGUCUAAUAGAUGAGCCAGGUGACGGUACCCUCAAAGGAAGCACCGGCU